GCACGUGUGCCCCUUUGCAUUUACCCUUCGAAUAAGGACCGGCUAAUUCCGUGCCAGCAGCCGCGGUAAUACGGAAGGUCCAGGCGUUAUCCGGAUUUAUUGGGUUUAAAGGGAGUGUAGGCGGUCUGUUAAGCGUGUUGUGAAAUUUAGGUGCUCAACAUCUACCUUGCAGCGCGAACUGGCGGACUUGAGUGCACGCAACGUAUGCGGAAUUCAUGGUGUAGCGGUGAAAUGCUUAGAUAUCAUGACGAACUCCGAUUGCGAAGGCAGCGUACGGGAGUGUUACUGACGCUUAAGCUCGAAGGUGCGGGUAUCGAACAGGAUUAGAUACCCUGGUAGUCCGCACGGUAAACGAUGGAUGCCCGCUGUUAGCGCCUGGCGUUAGCGGCUAAGCGAAAGCAUUAAGCAUCCCACCUGGGGAGUACGCCGGCAACGGUGAAACUCAAAGGAAUUGACGGGGGCCCGCACAAGCGGAGGAACAUGUGGUUUAAUUCGAUGAUACGCGAGGAACCUUACCCGGGCUUGAAUUGCAGACGCAGGAUACAGAGAUGUUGACUCCCUUCGGGGCGUCUGUGAAGGUGCUGCAUGGUUGUCGUCAGCUCGUGCCGUGAGGUGUCGGCUUAAGUGCCAUAACGAGCGCAACCCCUUUCCUUAGUUGCCAUCAGGUCAUGCUGGGCACUCUGGGGACACUGCCACCGCAAGGUGUGAGGAAGGUGGGGAUGACGUCAAAUCAGCACGGCCCUUACGUCCGGGGCUACACACGUGUUACAAUGGCCGGUACAGAGGGACGGUGCAAUGUAAAUAGCAUCCAAUCUUGAAAGCCGGUCCCAGUUCGGACUGAGGUCUGCAACCCGACCUCACGAAGCUGGAUUCGCUAGUAAUCGCGCAUCAGCCAUGGCGCGGUGAAUACGUUCCCGGGCCUUGUACACACCGCC
rnacentral:rRNA from 1 species